UUGACACCUUUGACCUCAAAUCAGGUAGGAUUACCCGCUGAACUUAAGCAUAUCAAGA
rnacentral:rRNA from 1 species